GGCCAUGUGCCUUCCCAUGUGAUGGAGGUGUUCCAGAUGCCGGUGGCCUUUCUUCAAAGAAGGAAUUAACCACCGAGUCUUGCUACCUAGCCACCAUGAUCUGUUAUUUUUCCUGACCACACCGUUAUGGUCUCCUGUGAGCAGAAUGACGUAAGCGUGGGAGGCCGAGAAGCAGACCCACCAUCACAACUGGGCAAGAGCACUGACCACCCUCUCCUGGGGCCUUGGGUUGGCUACUGGGUCGGCAUCACCUGCUUAGAGAACACCUGUCACACCAAUAGGAAUUCUAAAACUUUUGAUAUGGACAUUACACCCCCCAAACAACCGGAUGUUUUAAAGACAAAUGUUUAAAAGCAAUUAGAAAUACAUUUGCCAACUUAUUAAAACAGUAAUUUGUGAAACUUUUAGUACCUGGAAAAUUGCGUCCACCAGCAGCUGAUGCGCCGUAUGUAUGGUUGACUCUCUGCUUCUCGCUGGUUUCUCAUUCUCAGUCUCCUUGAGGGAUUUGUCUGUCCUAGGCUCUUGGUCUUCCUCUGUUUUAACAGUUUGUAUCUCCAUCUCCAACUCUUCAAAGCCUAUUUUUACAUAAGGAUACAGUUCUAAUGUUAACAUAAAAAUUGAGCCUGUUGCUUUUUAACCCUAACAAUCACUCAAACUUCAUCCAUUUAUUCCCCGAACAAUUUCUUAUAUGGAUUCUACAUGUUCCUUCUCUUUGAGACAGCCAUUGCCAAUCCUCACCCCCUUCACUUCACCACCUCCUCACCCUGACGUGGAGUUGAUGGCGACUGUUCGGGGCAGGGCGGGGGGGAUAGGGGAAACUGUAGUUUAUUCUAACAAGCCUUGCACAACUAUGCAAUUCUUUAAAUUAUGUGCAUGUGGAACUUUGAUAAAAAUAAAAACUAAAAUACCUAAAACUACAGCUUCAUUUUAAAGACAAGGAAAUUCAGGCAAAGAAAUGAGAAAUAAUUUGCCUCAAUCUGUGAAGUCAGUAAGAGGUAAAGCCUGGAUUUCACUGUCCAACCAGAGAGCAGUGCUUUUCCCACAGUCAUAUAACAGCAACAGUGUCAAACACCCUGAGAGAACAGGAAUGAGACAGAAGAAAAGGCCUUUUAAGUCUGGCAAGAUCUCUUGAAUUUGCAUUUGUUCCACUGCUAAUAAAGCUAUUUUUCUAACA